ACCGGAGCUAAUACCGGAUAGUUCCUUGAACCGCAUGGUUCAAGGAUGAAAGACGGUUUCGGCUGUCACUUACAGAUGGACCCGCGGCGCAUUAGCUAGUUGGUGAGGUAACGGCUCACCAAGGCGACGAUGCGUAGCCGACCUGAGAGGGUGAUCGGCCACACUGGGACUGAGACACGGCCCAGACUCCUACGGGAGGCAGCAGUAGGGAAUCUUCCGCAAUGGACGAAAGUCUGACGGAGCAACGCCGCGUGAGUGAUGAAGGUUUUCGGAUCGUAAAGCUCUGUUGUUAGGGAAGAACAAGUGCAAGAGUAACUGCUUGCACCUUGACGGUACCUAACCAGAAAGCCACGGCUAACUACGUGCCAGCAGCCGCGGUAAUACGUAGGUGGCAAGCGUUGUCCGGAAUUAUUGGGCGUAAAGGGCUCGCAGGCGGUUUCUUAAGUCUGAUGUGAAAGCCCCCGGCUCAACCGGGGAGGGUCAUUGGAAACUGGGAAACUUGAGUGCAGAAGAGGAGAGUGGAAUUCCACGUGUAGCGGUGAAAUGCGUAGAGAUGUGGAGGAACACCAGUGGCGAAGGCGACUCUCUGGUCUGUAACUGACGCUGAGGAGCGAAAGCGUGGGGAGCGAACAGGAUUAGAUACCCUGGUAGUCCACGCCGUAAACGAUGAGUGCUAAGUGUUAGGGGGUUUCCGCCCCUUAGUGCUGCAGCUAACGCAUUAAGCACUCCGCCUGGGGAGUACGGUCGCAAGACUGAAACUCAAAGGAAUUGACGGGGGCCCGCACAAGCGGUGGAGCAUGUGGUUUAAUUCGAAGCAACGCGAAGGACCUUACCAGGUCUUGACAUCCUCUGACAACCCUAGAGAUAGGGCUUUCCCUUCGGGGACAGAGUGACAGGUGGUGCAUGGUUGUCGUCAGCUCGUGUCGUGAGAUGUUGGGUUAAGUCCCGCCACGAGCGCAACCCUGGAUCGUAGUUGCCAACAUUCAGUAGGGCACUCUAAGGUGACUGCCGGUGACAAACCGGAGGAAGGUGGGGAUGACGUCAAAUCAUCAUGCCCCUUA
rnacentral:rRNA from 1 species